rnacentral:rRNA from 1 species
AAUCCAUAGGUUAAUGAGGCGAACCGGGGGAACUGAAACAUCUAAGUACCCCGAGGAAAAGAAAUCAACCGAGAUUCCCCCAGUAGCGGCGAGCGAACGGGGAGGAGCCCAGAGCCUGAAUCAGCAUGUGUGUUAGUGGAAGCGUCUGGAAAGGCGCGCGAUACAGGGUGACAGCCCCGUACACAAAAGCGCAUGUGCUGUGAGCUCGAUGAGUAGGGCGGGACACGUGGUAUCCUGUCUGAAUAUGGGGGGACCAUCCUCCAAGGCUAAAUACUCCUGACUGACCGAUAGUGAACCAGUACCGUGAGGGAAAGGCGAAAAGAACCCCGGCGAGGGGAGUGAAAAAGAACCUGAAACCGUGUACGUACAAGCAGUGGGAGCACAGGUUUACCUGUGUGACUGCGUACCUUUUGUAUAAUGGGUCAGCGACUUAUAUUCUGUAGCAAGGUUAACCGUAUAGGGGAGCCGUAGGGAAACCGAGUCUUAACCGGGCGUUAAGUUGCAGGGUAUAGACCCGAAACCCG